UCCCAUGUGGCUCAGCAGGUUAAGGAUCCGGCAUUGUCACUGCAGUGGCUCAGGUUCAAUCCCUGGCCUGGGAA
rnacentral:tRNA from 1 species